rnacentral:rRNA from 1 species
CUUGGUCAUUUAGAGGAAGUAAAAGUCGUAACAAGGUUUCCGUAGGUGAACCUGCGGAAGGAUCAUUAUAGAAUAUCAGGCUCUACCGCCCUAUUCUCACCCUGUGUAUACCGAACUCUGUUGCUUUGGCAAGCUCCUUGCCAGAGGACCUAAACCCUCGAAUUUGUGCUGUCUGAGUAUUAUAUAAUAAGUUAAAACUUUCAACAACGGAUCUCUUGGUUUUGGCAUCGAUGAAGAACGCAGCGAAAUGCGAUAAGUAAUGUGAAUUGCGGACUUCAGUGAAUCAUCGAAUCUUUGAACGCACAUUGCGCUCCCUGGUAUUCCGGGGAGCAUGCCUGUUCGAGCGUCAUUACAACCCUCACGCCACCGCGUGGUAUUGGGCUCGCCCCACCGGCCUGCCUCAAAGUCAGUGGCAAGCUUCACACAGCCCCAAAGCGUAGUAACAAUUCGCCGCUUUCUGGUGCUGCGUGACAGCCUGUCAGCAACCCCCACACUCAAAGGUUGACCUCGAAUCAGGUAGGGAUACCCGCUGAACUUAAGCAUAUCAAUAAGCGGAGGA